rnacentral:rRNA from 1 species
UACGUAGGGGGCUAGCGUUGUCCGGAUUUAUUGGGCGUAAAGAGCGUGUAGGCGGCCAGGUAGGUCUGCUGUGAAAACCCGAGGCUUAACCUCGGGCCUGCAUUCGAUACGGGCUGACUAGAGUUCGGUAGGGGAGACUGGAAUUCCUGGUGUAGCGGUGAAAUGCGCAGAUAUCAGGAGGAACACCGGUGGCGAAGGCGGGUCUCUGGGCCGAUACUGACGCUGAGGAGCGAAAGCGUGGGGAGCGAACAGG